rnacentral:rRNA from 1 species
UGUCGUAACAAGGUUUCCGUAGGUGAACCUGCGGAAGGAUCAUUACGGUGCAUCCGACCCACACGUGAACUGUUGAAAGGUGACAUGGUGUUUGGUUUCACGAUCAAGACCGGUCACCGCCCCUUCUUCCACACACACGAACAAUCGAGCUGAAGCGAUGGGGUAGCGGGCUUUUACAGACCGCUGCCUUUAACCGUGACAACUCUCAACAACGGAUGUCUUGGCUCUCGCAACGAUGAAGAACGCAGCGAAAUGCGAUACGUAGUGUGAUUUGCACUGUACGUGAACCAUCGAAUCUUUGAACGCAUAUUGCACUCGAGGCUUCGGCCAAGAGUAUGCCUGCCUGAGCGUCAGUGUGUACCCUCAUACCAAUUAAUUUUGGGAUGGAAAUGGACGUCCGAUCGGAGCCUGCGAAGGUUUCGAUGGGUCGGCUGAAAGGCAGUCGCGGUGCGACCGAUCGCACGAUCAGCGUGGUAGACCUAUUCAUAGGACGGAUCGCUCGGUCAGAUCGGUAACACUUCGAUCCGAAUACUGGUGCGUGUCUCGACUCCGCGGGCCCUCGCGGCUGGUGGAAUAAGAGCCGUGCCAUCUCACCUUUUGACCUCAGUUCAGACAAGGCUACCCGCCGAAUUUAAGCAUAUUACUAAGCGGAGGAAAAGAAAAUAACAAUGAUUCCCCUAGUAACGGCGAGCGAACCGGGAAGAGCCCAACUUGAAAAUCUGGAGGCUUGUCCUUCCGAAUUGUAGUCUAGAGAAGUGCCAUCUGCGGCUGGCUGGUCGAAAGUUCCCUGGAAAGGGACGUCAGAGAGGGUGAGAGCCCCGUCACGAUCGGUUAAGUCGCUCCACGAUGCGCUUUCGAGGAGUCGGGUUGUUUGGGAAUGCAGCCCUAAGCGGGAGGUAAAUUCCUUCUAAGGCUAAAUAUUGGCGAGAGACCGAUAGCGAACAAGUACCGCGAGGGAAAGAUGAAAAGACCUUUGAAAAGAGAGUUAAAAAGUACCUGAAAUUGUUGAGGGGGAAGCGAUUGAAACCAGCGGGUGCUCCUCGGGUAGGGUCAAACCACACGCCGAGGGCUGGUCAACGUGGGUUAGUCGGGCGGGAUAUUACGCUUGAUUGACCGAGGACUCGACGUUGGCGGAAUGGUUUCAAUCGGCCCGUCUAGAAACACGGACCAAGGAGUCUAACAUGUGUGCGAGUCGGUGGGUGACAAACCCACGAGGCGCAAGUAACCUGACUGAGCAAAUUCGACCGACCAUGAUCUUCUGUGAAAGGUUUGAGUGCGAGCAUACAUGCUGGGACCCGAAAGAUGGUGAACUAUGCGUGA